UACGUAGGGUGCAAGCGUUAAUCGGAAUUACUGGGCGUAAAGCGUGCGCAGGCGGUUUUGUAAGUCUGUUGUGAAAUCCCCGGGCUCAACCUGGGAAUGGCAAUGGAGACUGCAAGGCUAGAGUUUGGCAGAGGGGGGUAGAAUUCCACGUGUAGCAGUGAAAUGCGUAGAUAUGUGGAGGAACACCGAUGGCGAAGGCAGCCCCCUGGGUCAAGACUGACGCUCAUGCACGAAAGCGUGGGGAGCAAACAGG
rnacentral:rRNA from 1 species